rnacentral:ncRNA from 1 species
UGACCAAGGGGUCGGGACGUUCUGACUGUUUCAGGGUCGGAGUGACCUACGGGCACAUGGAGUGUCUGCGCAAGGGCCGGGUCAGGUAAUAA